rnacentral:rRNA from 1 species
UGGGGAAUAUUGCACAAUGGGGGAAACCCUGAUGCAGCGACGCCGCGUGAGCGAAGAAGUAUCUCGGUAUGUAAAGCUCUAUCAGCAGGGAAGAAAAUGACGGUACCUGACUAAGAAGCCCCGGCUAACUACGUGCCAGCAGCCGCGGUAAUACGUAGGGGGCAAGCGUUAUCCGGAUUUACUGGGUGUAAAGGGAGCGUAGACGGCGAUGCAAGUCUGAAGUGAAAGCCCCGGGCUCAACCUGGGUACUGCUUUGGAAACUGUAUUGCUGGAGUGCUGGAGAGGUAAGCGGAAUUCCUAGUGUAGCGGUGAAAUGCGUAGAUAUUAGGAGGAACACCAGUGGCGAAGGCGGCUUACUGGACAGUAACUGACGUUGAGGCUCGAAAGCGUGGGGAGCAAACAGG